rnacentral:rRNA from 1 species
UCAAGUCGUUCUGUAUUUUUUUUUUUUAAGUAUUUUUUUUUUUUCAAGCAGAAGACGGCAUACGAGAUCAUGCCUAGUCUCGUGGGCUCGGAGAUGUGUAUAAGAGACAGGGGGGACCACCCCCCAAGGCUAAAUACUACUUAGUGACCGAUAGCGCAUAGUACUGUGAAGGAAAGGUGAAAAGAACCCCGGGAGGGGAGUGAAAGAGAACCUGAAACCCUGUGUUUACAAGCUGUGGAAGAACUUUAAAGUUCAACCGCGUACUUUUUGUAGAACGGUCCGGCGAGUUACUCUUACUGGCAAGGUUAAGGACUAAAGGUCUGGAGCCGAAGGGAAACCAAGUCUUAAUAGGGCGUUAUAGUCAGUGUGAGUAGACCCGAAACCGGGUGACCUACCCAUGUCCAGGAUGAAGUUGCCGUAAAAGGCAAUGGAGGUCCGAACACACAUCCGUUGAAAAGGGUGGUGAUGAGGUGUGGGUAGCGGAGAAAUUCCAAUCGAACCCGGAGAUAGCUGGUUCUCCUCGAAAUAGCUUUAGGGCUAGCCUCAAUUUAGUCUUGCGGAGGUAGAGCACUGAAUAUCCUAGGGGGCGUCAAAGCUUACCGAAGAUUAUCAAACUCCGAAUGCCGUUAAGAUGAUGAUUGGGAGUCAGACUGCACGAGAUAAGUUGGGUAGUCAAAAGGGAAACAGCCCAGACCUCCAGCUAAGGUCCCAAAGUGAGUGUUAAGUGGAAAAGGAUGUGGGAUUUCGAAGACAACUAGGAUGUUGGCUUAGAAGCAGCCAUACAUUCAAAGAGUGCGUAAUAGCUCACUAGUCGAGAGGUCCUGCGCCGAAAAUGUCCGGGGCUAAACACUACACCGAAGCUGAGGAAUGUGUAAACAUUGGUAGAGGAGCAUUCUUAACAGCGACGAAGCUGUACCGUAAGGAGCAGUGGAGUGUUAAGAAGAGAGAAUGCCGGAAUGAGUAGCGAGAGUGAGGUGAGAAUCCUCACGGCCGAAUAUCUAAGGUUUCCAGGGUAAAGCUGAUCUGCCCUGGGUAAGUCGGGACCUAAGGCGAGGUCGAAAGACGUAGUCGAUGGAUAACAGGUUGAAAUUCCUGUACUGCAAUAUAUCAGAACUGUGGGGACACAGACAGAGAGCCUGAGCCGGGAGUGGAAAUACCGGUCUAAGCGAGGUAGGAGUGCAUUAGGCAAAUCCGGUGCACAAUCUGAAGACGUGAAUGGGAGCGAAAUUAUAAGUAGCGAAGCAGGUGAGCUGGCUGUCAAGAAAAGCCGCUAUUGUGUAUAUUGUACCCGUACCGUAAACCGACACAGGUGGAUGAGGAGAGAAUCCUAAGGCCGACGGAAGAAGUAUUGUUAAGGAACUCGGCAAAAUGGCCCCGUAACUUCGGGAUAAGGGGUGCCUCCUUCAGGGGAGGCCGCAGAGAAUUGGCCCAAGCAACUGUUUAGCAAAAACACAGGUCUAUGCGAAACCGUAAGGUGAGGUAUAUGGGCUGACGCCUGCCCGGUGCUGGAAGGUUAAGGGGAGAGGUUAGACGCAAGUCGAAGCUUUAAACUUAAGCCCCAGUAAACGGCGGCCGUAACUAUAACGGUCCUAAGGUAGCGAAAUUCCUUGUCGGGUAAGUUCCGACCC